CGGACCGGCGCACGGUGAGUAACGCGUAUGCAACCUACCUAUCAGAGGGGAAUAACCCGGCGAAAGUCGGACUAAUACCGCAUAAAACAGGGGUUCCACAUGGAAAUAUUUGUUAAAGAAUUAUCGCUGAUAGAUGGGCAUGCGUUCCAUUAGAUAGUUGGUGAGGUAACGGCUCACCAAGUCCACGAUGGAUAGGGGUUCUGAGAGGAAGGUCCCCCACACUGGUACUGAGACACGGACCAG
rnacentral:rRNA from 1 species